AGGUGAAAAGCACCCCGGAAGGGGAGUGAAAGAGAUCCUGAAACCGUGUGCCUACAAAUAGUCAGAGCCCGUUAAUGGGUGAUGGCGUGCCUUUUGUAGAAUGAACCGGCGAGUUACGAUCCCGUGCAAGGUUAAGUUGAAGAGACGGAGCCGCAGCGAAAGCGAGUCUGAAUAGGGCGUUUAGUACGUGGUCGUAGACCCGAAACCAGGUGAUCUACCCAUGUCCAGGGUGAAGUUCAGGUAACACUGAAUGGA
rnacentral:rRNA from 1 species